rnacentral:lncRNA from 1 species
CCUGGCUCUUAUGCAAAUGUUUUACAGGCCAGAAAGAUGGUGUCAGAUCCUCUGGAGCUGGAGUUACACAGACUCUUGUGAACAACCUUGACAUGGGUGCUGGGAAUAGAACUCAGGUUCUUUGGGAGAACAGCAAAUGCCUCAUGUCCCUUUAAUAAUAAUUGUUUGUAAACUGAUUUAAUUUUUAAAAGAAGAUUUAUUUAUUCAUUUUAUGUAUGUGGGUACUCUGUAGCUGUAUAGAUGGUUGAGAGCCUUCAUGUGGUUGUUGGGAAUUGAAUUUUAGGACCUCUGCUUGCUCCGGUCAACUCCACUCGUUCAGUCCCUGCUUGCUCCAGCCCAAAGAUUUGUUUAUUAUUAUACAUAAGUACACUGUAACUGACUUCAGACAUACCAUAAGAGGGUGUCAAAUCUCAUUACAGAUGGUUGUGAGCCACCAUGUGGUUGCUGGGAUUUGAACCCAGGACCUUUGGAAGAGCAGUCAGUGCUCUUACCCGCUGAGCCAUCUCACCAGCUCCUGAUUUAAUUUUUUUAAUGAGUGUGUUUGCAAGUUGAAGGUUGAUCUUUAGUAUCCAUAUUAAGUGCAUCUAACAAAGCAUAUCUGAGUUUUGAAUUGUGGUAAUUUUUGGAUCUUCCUUAGUCUAGAUGGCAUGAUGGCUGC